UUCUUUUUCUUUGAUUUUCUCGUUUGUUAGGAAGCUCCUUCCUUUUCCUCCACCAUAGCCAAACUUCCAACCCCAUCGAUACGACACCAGUGAGCUGUGACGAAAUGGAAGAUCGCCACCUGCCAUCGGAGGUGACGAACAGAGGAAGAAGAAGUUCCUCUUACUGAAACGGAGUCCCUAGCGAACCCGACGGCCAGCGGAGGCAACGGACUGCCACCGCCAAACGAAGCCAUGGAAUUCCAUUGCUUCGGGUGAACGAUUCUCUGCUGAGGUUCGUUCUGGGCUUCGUGCAGCUUGCUAUAGAUUAGGCAACAAGGCAUGGAGAGACGGAAGCUCUUGAUGUUUUUAUUGAAGAGAGGAUUGGAUUUUCGUCUGCAGAAGUUGCAGAGAAGUUUUCAGCAUGCUCCCUUUAUGUGACAUGUGAAUCCUGCAUAAUGUGUGCAGCAGCAAAAUCAAUAAUUGGUACAUCUGUUGGUCAUAUUGAAAUAAAACUAAAAUUUCGUCAAGUUUGUUAAUUCAAAUGUGAUUAGAUGGCUCUAAGCCAUUUUUAGGUAUGAAGGAAGUAUAUUAUGGCUGUACAAAUGAUAAAUUUGGAGGCUGUGGCUCAAUACUGUCAUUUUAUUCAUGUAGCUCUGAGGUAUGCAAUAGGUCAGUUUUGGAACUUGCUUUUGUUAAUAAUUUCAUAUCUAUUUGGCCCCACUUUCAAAUUGUGACAUCUGUCAAUUGACAACUAAAGUUUACUGGAGGUUUAUAUGACUUCUAUUGUUGAUUAA